AAACUUUGGACUUCUAAAAUUGUUUGUGCCAGAAGGUGUAAAAGAUCAAACAUGAGGACUAUUACCGGAAAACGUUAGGCCAAACAGUCGUUUGAGUCUUUCCACUUAGGCAUAAGAUCCUCUUUAUUCAAUCUCAGUUUCUAAGAGAAAUCAACACAGGAGUCUUGCAAGCUAAAAGCAAGUAAGGAAGAGAUGGAAGCCUCAUAUAUUGUCAAAAUUCAAUAUUCAAAUUUAACUCUUUGGGCUGGUGAUGCCUAUACUUUAUUAGUGACAAAAUGUUGUCAUUUGUUUUGAGUGAGAACAUAUUUAGAUUGAUAUAUUGAUCUAUAUAUUAUUAACUAUAAUGUCUAGAGGACUUAAAAGUGUUGAAGUAAAAA